rnacentral:rRNA from 1 species
UACGUAGGGUGCGAGCGUUAAUCGGAAUUACUGGGCGUAAAGCGUGCGCAGGCGGUGAGCUGUGUCCGAUGUGAAAGCCCCGGGCUUAACCUGGGAAUGGCAUUGGAAACUGCUCGCUGGAGUGUGGCAGAGGGGGGUGGAAUUCCGCGUGUAGCAGUGAAAAUGCGUAGAGAUGCGGAGGAACACCGAUGGCGAAGGCAGCCCCUGGGCUAACACUGACGCUCAGGCACGAAAGCGUGGGGGAGCAAACAGG